GUAGGGAAUCUUCCACAAUGGGCGAAAGCCUGAUGGAGCAACGCCGCGUGUGUGAUGAAGGGUUUCGGCUCGUAAAACACUGUUGUAAGAGAAGAAUGACAUUGAGAGUAACUGUUCAAUGUGUUGACGGUAUCUUACCAGAAAGGAACGGCUAAAUACGUGUCAG
rnacentral:rRNA from 1 species